GAUGAACGCUGGCGGCGUGCCUAAUACAUGCAAGUCGAGCGAACAGACGAGGAGCUUGCUCCUCUGACGUUAGCGGCGGACGGGUGAGUAACACGUGUAUAACCUACCUAUAAGACUGGUAUAACUUCGGGAAACCGGAGCUAAUACCGGAUAAUAUAUUGAACCGCAUGGUUCAAUAGUGAAAUACGGUUUUGCUGUCACUUAUAGAUGGAUCCGCGCCGCAUUAGCUAGUUGGUAAGGUAACGGCUUACCAAGGCAACGAUGCGUAGCCGACCUGAGAGGGUGAUAGGCCACACUGGAACUGAGACACGGUCCAGACUCCUACGGGAGGCAGCAGUAGGGAAUCUUCCGCAAUGGGCGAAAGCCUGACGGAGCAACGCCGCGUGAGUGAUGAAGGUCUUCGGAUCGUAAAACUCUGUUAUUAGGGAAGAACAAAUGUGUAAGUAAAUAUGCACGUCUUGACGGUACCUAAUCAGAAAGCCACGGCUAACUACGUG
rnacentral:rRNA from 1 species